rnacentral:sRNA from 1 species
UUUUUUUUUUUGGCAAACAGUUAACGAGGUGGGAGUCUUGUGGCCAGCAUAACGACACGUACCCAUUGGAGUUUUUGGAAUUGAAAAUACCAGUCUUCAUUAAGAUUUGAACCCAGGACCCAAGGUUCGGAAGCCAAGCACUUAACCGCUUUUGAUUUACAAGCACUCAUCAAUGAUGCCCUACAAGAAAAAAAUUCAAACUGAUAGAAAAGUAUCGACUGACCUAGCAGACUUAUCCAGUCUUGGGGAUGAGAAUCAAGAUACA